GUUCGGCAACUGAGCAAUGAAUUGAAAUGGAUGCAAAGCUUCUUGAAGGAUGCAGAUGCAAAGCAAGGAGAGAAUGAAUUGGUGCGAAACUGGGUGUCUGAAAUUAGAGACGUAGCCUAUGAUGCAGAAAAAGUCAUAGAAACAUACACAUCCAAGGCAACAUCUCAUCCUAUAUGGGACUUGGUCACGAAACCAAUACGUCUCUAAAAGGUGAGAGGAAGAUUGAAAACAUCCAAUCCAGGAUCCGGGACACAUCUAGCAGGCGGGAAAAGUAUGGGUUGAUGAGCACUAGUGUCUAGUGGAGAGGGAGGCCACGAAAGUACUGCAAAUGAAAGGCUGAAAUGGCGGAGACAACCAUCUUCCCAUGUUGAGGGAGAUGAUAUAAUUGAACUUGUAGAAGACGCAAAAGUUUUACUUGCACAGCUAAGUAGUUUGGAGUCAAGGCGACAAAUGGCUUCCAUUUUGG
rnacentral:misc_RNA from 1 species